CCGUCCUGCUUAUUAUUGAUUUUGAUUUAAUGCUUUCUUUUGGUUUUAAGGUCUUUUGAGUUUAUUGAGAAGGUGGGUAGCUCUUUGAACAACCACUCAAAAUCACUUCUAGGGAAGGAGGAAAUGGGCAUUUGUGUCAUUU